UACGUAGGGUGCAAGCGUUGUCCGGAAUUAUUGGGCGUAAAGAGCUCGUAGGCGGUGCGGUAAGUCUGCGGUGAAAUCUCCCGGCUCAACUGGGAGGCUGCCGUGGAAACUGCCGGGCUUGAGUAUGGGAGAGGUGAGUGGAAUUUCCGGUGUAGCGGUGAAAUGCGUAGAUAUCGGAAGGAACACCUGUGGCGAAAGCGGCUCACUGGACCAUUACUGACGCUGAGGCACGAAAGCGUGGGUAGCAAACAGG
rnacentral:rRNA from 1 species